rnacentral:rRNA from 1 species
CGCGUGGGAACGUACUUACUACGGAAUAACGCAUGGAAACGUGUGCUAAUACCGUAUGUGCCCUUCGGGGGAUUGACAAAGAUUUAUCGGGAUCGGCCCGCGUUGGAUUAGCUAGUUGGUGGGGUAAAGGCAAGGCGACGAUCCAUAGCUGGUCUGAGAGGAUGGCCACAUUGGGACUGAGACACGGCCCAAACUCCUACGGGAGGCAGCAGUGGGGAAUAUUGGACAAUGGGCGCAAGCCUGAUCCAGCCAUGCCGCGUGAGGAACUAGGGUUGUAAAGCUCCACCGAAGAUAAUGACGGUAUCCGGAGAAGAAGCCCCGGCUGAUCUAACUUCGUGCCAGCAGCCGCGGUAAUACGAAGGGGGCUAGCGUUGUUCGGAUUUACUGGGCAGCGCACGUAGGCGGACAUUUAAGUCAGGGGUGAAAUCCCCUCAACUCUGGAACUGCCUUUGAUACUGGGUGUCUGGAGUAUGGAAGGAGUGGAAUUCCGAGUGUAGAGGUGAAAUUCGUAGAUAUUCGGAGGAACACCAGUGGCGAAGGCGGCUCACUGGUCCAUUACUGACGCUGUGAAAGCGUGGGGAGCAAACAGGAUUAGAUACCCUGGUAGUCCACGCCGUAAACGGAUUAGCCGUCGGGCAGUUUACUGUUCGGUGGCGCAGCUAACGCAUUAAACAU